rnacentral:miRNA from 2 species
AAUUGCACCAAUCCCGGCCUGC